UGGGGGAUAUUGCACAAUGGGCGAAAGCCUGAUGCAGCGACGCCGCGUGGGGGAUGAAGGCUUUCGGGUUGUAAACCUCUUUCGCUAUCGAACAAGGCCCGCUUAGGGUGGGGUGAGGGCAGGUGGAGAAGAAGCGCCGGCUAACUACGUGCCAGCAGCCGCGGUAAUACGUAGGGCGGGAGCGUUGUCCGGAAUUAUUGGGCGUAAAGGGCUUGUAGGCGGCUUGUUGCGCCUGCUGUGAAAACGCGGGGCUUAACUUCGCGCGUGCAGUGGGUACGGGCAGGCGUGAGUGUGGUAGGGGUGACUGGAAUUCCAGGUGUAGCGGUGGAAUGCGAAGAUAUCUGGAGGAACACCGAUGGCGAAGGCAGGUCACUGGGCCAUUACUGACGCUGAGGAGCGAAAGCAUGGGUAGCGAACAGG
rnacentral:rRNA from 1 species